CUUGCUUCUUUCCAAAGGCACCACCUGCCUCCCUCACCGAGCCUCCUCCACCGCCUCCCUUUCCUGCUCCUUUGCCCAGCUCACCCAGCUAGAGAGGGAGAGAUAUCAAAUCACCGCUCGGGUCUCCCACGGGAAAAAAACUAACAUGUCACUAUCUGAGGGUUCAUGCCAGGAUUUUUUUCGAGACCUGAUAUUGAAGAACAUUCAACAUGAGGCCUAUGUUUUUCAUCUGCACUGGCUUGGGAGAAAAAAAACAGACAUUUCAGUGUGAGUCCUAUUUGAUUGAUUUUCUCUCUACUAAAUGCGAAGGAAUUACAUGUAUUUCAAAUAUGUAUUUUGUAUGUUUUAUUACACUGGGCUGAACUACACUGUAAUCUAUUUUGUAACCAGAUACUUUCUAAAGCUGUAAUAUGUAUUUUCAAAAUACAAUUUGUUUUUGGUACAUAUUUGUAUCUUUAUUUUUUUUAAUUAUAACUGGUUUGGCAUGUAUUUGUUUUGUGAGGGCUGUUUACCAGGUUUAUUUGCCAUUAAGUAGUAUGCUUUCUUUUGAGUUUAACCUAUAGUUGUUGGCGCUCUUCAAAAGGUUAAGAUCACAUUCCUGCUUAAAUUCAGACAUUUUAUUUUUUGAUGGUCUUUUUCUAAAAUAGUGAUUUAUUUUUCUUUCAUUUCUAACUCAGAUGUACAGUAACUUUUGACGAGUAUGAGAUUAUCA